AUUGAACGCUGGCGGCAGGCCUAACACAUGCAAGUCGAGCGGAGCGGCGGACGGGUGAGUAAUGCCUCGGAAUCUGCCUGUUAGUGGGGGAUAACGCCCGGAAACGGGCGCUAAUACCGCAUACUAUCAGAUCCGCCUAGGUGGGAUUAGCUAGUUGGUGGGGUAAAGGCCCACCAAGGCUACGAUCCGUAACUGGUCUGAGAGGAUGAGCAGUCACACUGGAACUGAGACACGGUCCAGACUCCUACGGGAGGCAGCAGUGGGGAAUAUUGGACAAUGGGCGAAAGCCUGAUCCAGCCAUGCCGCGUGUGGGAAGAAGGUCUUCGGAUUGUAAAGCACUUUAAGUUGGGAGGCGUUACCAACAGAAGAAGCACCGGCUAACUUCGUGCCAGCAGCCGCGGUAAUAC
rnacentral:rRNA from 1 species